GCUGGCCCUGCGCGUGGCCGCUGUGGCACGGGCGUGCGCUUCUCCCCGGAGCAGGCCUUGUGUACCGGGCGGUGCGCAGGCCUCUGCGCUCCGGGUAGCCGGGACCCUGGGAGCCGGCGGGAACGAGCGGCUGCAGCGAGAGGCCUGGCUGUGCCGGCCGUUUUCCCUCUUUCAUUACAUUCAGCCUGCAGCCGGCUCCUCCCGGGCCUCGGGGGGGUGGGGGGGGGAGCCCUUUGUAUGGACGUAGAUCCUGCUCCCGCCGCACCGCAGUUGCGUCUGGACUGUUGUGUCGCGCAUGCUGCUCAAAUCGGUGGCUUACUCAGGGCUGGGGGAGGACUCACUCCCGCUUCUUAGACUGAAGACUCUUAGUUAAGUGUGAACCCCUGCAUUUAACCUUCUCCAUUCCUUAAAGCACGUUUGUGUGGUAGGCAGGGAGAAACGACAGUUUUCAGAACGUCGUUACCACUUUAGGUGUUAAGAGGAACCCCGGGGUGGCGGUGAUGAGGCGAUCUGGACAAGCAGUGUUACUCCCCUCCAUCCUGGUGUUCUUCCCAGCGCUUGCUCUUUUUACCUGUUUGUCACAUGAACUUCACCCAGAGUUUGAGAAACUUGUCAACUUUCUUCACUGAUGGACUCCUCCUGGCAACAUACUAGAGUGGGGCCUGUCACAGCGAUUGAAGAAAAAGUUCAGAGGAGGGUGAAUCAUCUGGGAAUGAACCCGCCACUGGAUUUGGAUUUAAAGAU
rnacentral:lncRNA from 1 species